GACGAACGCUGGCGGCGUGCUUAACACAUGCGAGUCGAACGAAAAGAGGGAAAGAGCUUGCUCUUUCCGGAAUUGAGUGGCAAACGGGUGAGUAACACGUAAACAACCUGCCUUCAGGAUGGGGACAACAGACGGAAACGACUGCUAAUACCGAAUAAGUUCCAAGGGCCGCAUGGCCCAUGGAAGAAAAGGUGGCCUCUACCUGUCAGCUAUCGCCUGAAGAGGGGUUUGCGUCUGAUUAGCUGGUUGGAGGGGUAACGGCCCACCAAGGCGACGAUCAGUAGCCGGUCUGAGAGGAUGAACGGCCACACUGGAACUGAGACACGGUCCAGACUCCUACGGGAGGCAGCAGUGGGGAAUCUUCCGCAAUGGGCGAAAGCCUGACGGAGCAACGCCGCGUGAGUGAUGACGGCCUUCGGGUUGUAAAACUCUGUGAUCCGGGACGAAAAGGCAGAGUGCGAAGAACAAACUGCAUUGACGGUACCGGAAAAGCAAGCCACGGCUAACUACGUG
rnacentral:rRNA from 1 species